GGCUUCGUGGUGUAGUGGUUCAGCUCGCUGGGCUGAUAUUCCAGAGGUCCGUGGUUCGAUUCCCGGCGAAGGCG
rnacentral:tRNA from 1 species